rnacentral:lncRNA from 1 species
AAAAAAAGGAACGAAAAGACUCGGGCAAAGGAUUGAUUUCGUGUUGGAAUCACCAAUAAGCCUGUAUCAUUACUAUUAUUGUUUUUCCCACCAUAAAUUGCAGGACAUUUUCUGUACGGUCCUUGGGGGAAAGCAAGGAGUAGGGGGAGGGGAGGGGACUUUUAAAAAUCUUUCCCACACUAAAGAACUAGGAGGACCGGACUCUCGGCGAGCGAUCCAGGAGAAAGUGAGAAUCAUCCUGAACUUCGGGAAAUCUGCUGCGGCUACUACUGCUACUGAAGCUAUUGCGGCUUCUGCUUUCAGAGCUGAAAGCAGAAUAAAUAACUGCUUCUUCCUUGAUUUUAGGUCCGGGAACCUUGGGCAUUUGACAUCCAAGACCUUCUUUUUGCCUUCCCUGAGGUCGGCUGUCACCUUCCGGCCUCCCCCACCGCUGCCCCUGUCGCCUCCUGCUGCAGCUCAGCCUGUCUGCCAUUUCACUCAUUCGCUUAAACCCACGACCUCCCGGGUCAUAAGGAAGAGGAUUUACCAAAGAAGUGGGCAAGCAGAAAUGAGGACCUCUUAA